rnacentral:rRNA from 1 species
UGAUGGGUAAUACUGUAUAAUCCCUGCGGGGGAAAGAUUUAUCGCUAUUAGAUGAGCCUACGUUAAAUUACCUAGUUGGUAAGGUAAUGGCUUACCAAGGCUAUGAUCUAUAGCUGGUCUGAGAGGACGAUCAGCCACACUGGAACUGAUAUACGGUCCGGACUCCUACGGGAGGCAGCAGUGGGGAAUAUUGGACAAUGGGCGAAAGCCUGAUCCAGCUAUGCCGCGUGAGUGAAGAAGGCCUUCGGGUUGUAAAGCUCUUUCAAUACGGAAGAU